rnacentral:siRNA from 1 species
AUGAUGCCUCUUUUCAACUCU